AAUUAACACCCCCAAAAAACAAAUAAAAACUCAAGAUGUGUGACCCCUGCUGCGGACCUUUUGAGCCCCGUGGAUGCCGUAGUCGUGAAUUGCGUUGUGGUAUUAUGUACACCACUUGUGAUUGUAUCAAGCGUAAUGGACUGCAGGAUAAAUGCCCACGAUCGGCGUGCCAAGGACGACCCGCAUGCAUGUGCUUCCCGGUGCCAACUUGCGGACCGGCUGCAUUCCCAUUGCGUUAUGCCAACAUGACAAUGGGAGCCAACAAUAAGCGCAUGCGUUGCGCAGCAUCAGGGGCUUCGUCUGGUGGAGGCGGCAGCAAUGGAGGACGUGCCUGCGGCGGUGGAAGCGGAAACGGUGGAGGAUGCUGUGCUCCAUGUCCUAGUCAUUUCCUGAGCAAAAAGGAGGAAAACAUGCCAUGUGUUUGGUGUGCACCUUGCAAAGCUCAUUGCUAUAAUACGCCACCGAAAUGCUGUUGCUAAAGAACUCCCACCCAAUUCACAUAGAAAGUUAAUUUUUAAGAGGAAAAUAGUGUAAAAACACAAAUCAUUCUUUCUUUAACCCUAAAUUCUAAAUUCUAUUCCCUUGUCCCCAUGUGGUUUCUAAUUAAGGAGUGGCCGAUACAUAGCAGUCUAUCCAAUAUAUGGUAGAGGAGAAACUGAGAUCCAUCAGUGCCACAUCUAUCGUUAAACACAUCGGAAGCAGUGAAACCAAUGGGAAAAAUGGACGUGUUGACAAAGUAUUUGUUUUUGGUGGGAUCUAAAUUUGAAGCAAGUUGAAUUCUGAAAGUGUAUAGUAGUAGCAUCGCCAUUCACCACCUGGUGAUCCCCAAGAAAUAUUGGAAACAUUGGCGAAUCACUAGCUUACGCCUAUUCUUCAACUAUUGCUAAAUUCCUAUUUCGAUUUUCAAUUCUUGGCCUUUAUCAAAAUUUUUAGUUAUACAAAAUUUGGACUUGCAUUUCUUUAUUUUUUUUUUCU